GAGCGGCGAACGGGUGAGUAACACGUGAGCAACCUGCCCCUGACUCCGGGAUAAGCGGUGGAAACGCCGUCUAAUACCGGAUAUGACCUGCCGCCUCAUGGUGGCGGGUGGAAAGUUUUAUCGGUCAGGGAUGGGCUCGCGGCCUAUCAGCUUGUUGGUGGGGUAAAGGCCUACCAAGGCGAUUACGGGUAGCCGGCCUGAGAGGGCGACCGGCCACACUGGGACUGAGACACGGCCCAGACUCCUGCGGGAGGCAGCAGUGGGGAAUAUUGCACAAUGGGCGAAAGCCUGAUGCAGCGACGCCGCGUGGGGGAUGACGGCCUUCGGGUUGUAAACCUCUUUUACCACCAACGCAGGCUCCGGGUUUUCUCGGGGUUGACGGUAGGUGGGGAAUAAGGACCGGCUAACUACGUGCCAGCAGCCGCGGUAAUACGUAGGGUCCGAGCGUUGUCCGGAAUUAUUGGGCGUAAAGAGCUCGUAGGCGGCAUGUCGCGUCUGCUGUGAAAGACCGGGGCUUAACUCCGGUUCUGCAGUGGAUACGGGCAUGCUAGAGGUAGGUAGGGGAGACUGGAAUUCCUGGUGUAGCGGUGAAAUGCGCAGAUAUCAGGAGGAACACCGGUGGCGAAGGCGGGUCUCUGGGCCUUACCUGACGCUGAGGAGCGAAAGCAUGGGGAGCGAACAGGAUUAGAUACCCUGGUAGUCCAUGCCGUAAACGUUGGGCGCUAGGUGUGGGGACUUUCCACGGUUUCCGCG
rnacentral:rRNA from 1 species